UACGUAGGGGGCAAGCGUUGUCCGGAUUUAUUGGGCGUAAAGAGCGUGUAGGCGGCCAGGUAGGUCUGCUGUGAAACUCGAGGCUUAACCUCGAGCUGUCGGCGGAAACCAUCUGGCUAGAGUCCGGAAGAGGAGAAUGGAAUUCCCGGUGUAGCGGUGAAAUGCGCAGAUAUCGGGAAGAACACCCGUGGCGAAGGCGGUCUC
rnacentral:rRNA from 1 species